GUAUCCUUGGGGAUUUAUUUGAUGGUAUUAUUUCUUUGUUUCUUACUCCUAUUUGUAUUGUUUGGGGUUAUAACUUGCUGGGGUAGUUUCUUGUAAUCUACUCCUGCAUUAUUGCCCCUAUCACUAUACCUACUGUGUGAAUCGAACCCACAACCAGAUCUGAUUUCUGAACCAUUGUCCAGAUCUGUUUCAGCCAUCUAUUCUCAACAUAUUUCCUGAUUACUUGGUCUGUUAUUGGGUGUUUCUAAGAGUUCUAGGAUCUAGGAACUCAGUCCUAAAGUUUCAUUGGAUUUGGGAGGUUGAGAGGAGAGUUUGAUCAAUUUUUCUCAACCCAGCUCUUCCACAACUGGUUGCUGUUCAUGUUGUAAGAUUGAAGAUGACAUAUUCUUCUAUUUACACAAAAGGACAACUCAUUGUAAAAUUGUUCAAAAACUCCAUGUUUCUGAAUUUAUUUUAGGGAAUAGGCUGGGUAUGCUAGCUGUAUACCCAAAUCUGUCUAUCUCUCCCCGUCUCCCUUUGGAAAAGUCCCCUAUGCCCCUCAUAUCCCAACCCUUCCAUUGGUUGAGCUGUUAGCUUCAGGAAAGCCGGCGGCAUACCUUACCUCCUCCCUUUAUUUUGUUUCACCCCUUACCCUGAUUUUGAUUCCAGGAAACUCCAUCUUUUCGAUUUCAAUUUAUAGUUUAUUCCUUUCACUUGUUAUCUCACUCUUAAGGAUCUAAAUUGUUCCAUUAUUUACAAAAUUGCCACUCAUUCGUGUACUUGUGAAUUUCAUUACUUUAGUGGAUCCAUCAUAGUGAUCCAAAAGCAGGGUUUUGUGAACUGGGGUUGCAUUCAGGAUUUGAGGUUACCGUUGAAGCAUCAAAACCUGAUCACCAUUCACCCCUAAAGUCGAGCACAGAAGCAGCAAGGUUUUUUCCUCCAAAUGAUCUUAUGGUUUUAUCAUUGUUCAUUUGAAAGAAGAUUGAUGGAUGAUGUACUAAAAUGUCAGGGGUUGGAACAUGCCCAAGUCCCGUUGCAUUUUUCAGUGCAAUGUUCUGAUGAAAUGAGGAGCUUAUCUAGACACCUGAGGAUGGGAGGACCUGUUAAGUAAUGUCUAACUGGGUCCCUUAUGGUAGGUCUAUUUUUUAAUUUCUGUUGAAGGGAGUUCCUGAAUGCCUUCAUUGCAAAGGAGGUUUCACAUUAUUAACCUAAGAUGCUUGAACAACAAUGAACUUGGUGUCUUUUUUGUAUUGUUAUACUGAGAGCAAGGAAGUAAUGGAAUAUAUUAGAGGGAAGAGGAUCAGGAACUGAUUGUUGAUGAAACUCAAAAUUUUAGUAGUUGUAGU